GAUUCACUCCCACCCACUAAACCCUAAGUACGUCCCCCCUCUCCCCACUUCCCCUCAAACCCGCUCCCUCUGGCUUCCGCUCAAAAUCGUCGCCUCUCUCCCUCAUCCGCGGUCUCUCUCCCUCGGACGUCGUCCCACUCCCUCAAACCGACGUCCCUCUCACGCCGCCUUCACCACGCCGUCGUCCACAGUUCUGUCACCGCUACGGUCAUCCCCUGCACGGCAUAGCCAUCGUCCUCCGUUGAAUCACCCUGCCUUCCUCUGCCUCACUGAGAGAGGAUCGCUGCCUCCGCCGGGGAGAGGACCCCCUCCUCCUCAGGCUGACAGGCCCGCCGCACCUCGCCCUAAAUCUGUCGAUCGUGAGAAGGUUCUCUCUCCCUCUCCUCUAUGUCCAUCUCUACAUUCUUUUGAUUUUGAUUCUGAUGUUUUCAAUUUAUGAGUUUUCUAUCUAGGGUUUCUCGGUUGAAAUGUUGACUGGUUAUUUUUGUGAGCAAUUAUUUUUGUGACUUUCUGGCAAUGCCUGUCUAAGAAACGUUGCUGCAAUUCUCGAGCUAAAUGAAAACCUUGAAAGAAGUUUCGUGUAUUUGAAGCAGCUCCGCUGGAAUCAAGAGGAGUACCGGUGAAGAAGCCUUCUCCGGAUUACUUUUUAUAGGAAAGAGAAUUCAUAUACGAUUGGUAAAAUUGUGAAUUCUGUGGUGUUGGAGACCAGAAUCUGUAAGCAGCUAUUGGUUUGUUAAAGUUAACCAUUAAUUUACUGUCAUUUUCAUAUCAAAUAUGCUAAUCAUAGACUAAACGAUGGAGAACAUGUGAAGUGGAUUAGUCUUUAUCUUCUUCUUCUGCAGAGAAUAUAUAGAAGUGAUAUGUAAGGAUGGGUAUCCUGAGAGUUGCAGUAAUGGAAAGAGUCUUCUUCAUCAUGCAAACUUAUUUCACAAGUGUUUGGAAGCUGAGCUUCACCAACGCUGCUACAAUUCUUAAUAUAUGGGGUGGAUUCUACAGAAUUCUUCCAGUUUUCUUUCUUUUCCUUGCUGACACUCUUCUUGGGAAUAUAUAAUGUUUUAUUUUCCUACCAUUGGUUUGUCAAAGUUAACCAUUAAUUACUUGUUUUAUACCAUUUAUUGGUUCCUUCCAAACCAUUUUGGAACAAGUUAUUCAAAGAGCAUAUUCCAGAUCGAAGUGACACUGGUUUAUAUUUCUUUCCCGGAGUUGGAGAGAGCUCGAAGGAGUAUUAUUUCUUCCUCGUAGAUCAAAUAAUUUCGACGAACUAUGCAUUGAGGAAGCAGAUUGCAGAUGUUGACCUAUUGGUUUUCAGUACCAAACUUCUACAUGCCAAUUGUAUGCCAAAGAGAUUCUUCAAAAAGAAAUGCUUUCUCAUGUUGGUGUUGGGGAGUACUGUGAGACAAAAUUUGCUUAUUACUUUGGGAAGAUCAUUGGAGCAAGAUACUUCAACAAGUGAUAUAGUGCCGUUGUCGGGAACAAACUGUGCUUGAAGAGGGAGAGCCUCUCAGCUACAUUGUUGCCUCUACACAAGGCGUACCCCGUCAUCUCUGCUGCAUCGGCCAAAGCUGGCAACGCAUCAGCUGAUGAGGCCUUGCUCUGCAAAUCUGGCACCUUGAAUCCACGGAAGGCGAAGGGGAAGUUUUGGUGUGCCUACGAGGGGACAACGCGAGAGUUGACAAGGGCGAGCAAGCUGCCUUGGCUGGUGCAGUAGGGAUGGUUUUAGCUAACAAUGAGGCUUCUGGUAAUAAAAUUCUUGCUGAUCCUCGUGUUCUCCCUGCAUCACACAUCAACUUUUCCGAUGGCCUCGCCCUUUUCUCUUCACACAUCAACUUUUCCGAUGGCCUCGCCCUUUUCUCCUACAUCAACUCAACGAGGUUCGAAUCAUGAAUCAUGGAUCCUAUUGAAAGCUUUUUCUGACAUGGAGAAGUUCUUGCUUUCUUUGACCUUUCGAAAGCUUCUGGGAACUAUUAUGACUUGUGGAUUUUGAAUGUAGGAUUCUCUAUGAAAAAUACUAUUAUGGUGUAGCUUUUUAGAUGUUCAUUAUGGUGUUGGGAGAUGUUGUAAAACAAUGGAUCUUAUUUUGUGGAUGUUGGAUUAUUAGUUGUUAUCAAUGUUUAAAUGAGCAUUUUUAGUA